rnacentral:rRNA from 1 species
AUUGAACGCUGGCGGCAGGCUUAACACAUGCAAGUCGAGCGGGGUGAUGGUGCUUGCACUAUCACUUAGCGGCGGACGGGUGAGUAAUGCUUAGGAAUCUGCCUAUUAGUGGGGGACAACAUCUCGAAAGGGAUGCUAAUACCGCAUACGUCCUACGGGAGAAAGCAGGGGAUCACUUGUGACCUUGCGCUAAUAGAUGAGCCUAAGUCGGAUUAGCUAGUUGGUGGGGUAAAGGCCUACCAAGGCGACGAUCUGUAGCGGGUCUGAGAGGAUGAUCCGCCAACCUGGAACUGAGGCACGGCCCAGACUCCUACGGGAGGCAGCAGUGGGGAAUAUUGGACAAUGGGGGGAACCCUGAUCCAGCCAUGCCGCGUGUGUGAAGAAGGCCUUAUGGUUGUAAAGCACUUUAAGCGAGGAGGAGGCUCUUUUGGUUAAUACCCAAGAUGAGUGGACGUUACUCGCAGAAUAAGCACCGGCUAACUCUGUGCCAGCCGCCGCGGUAA